rnacentral:rRNA from 1 species
GAUGAACGCUGGCGGCGUGCCUAAUACAUGCAAGUCGAGCGAACAGAUGAGGAGCUUGCUCCUCUGACGUUAGCGGCGGACGGGUGAGUAACACGUGGAUAACCUACCUAUAAGACUGGGAUAACUUCGGGAAACCGGAGCUAAUACCGGAUAAUAUAUUGAACCGCAUGGUUCAAUAGUGAAAGACGGUUUUGCUGUCACUUAUAGAUGGAUCCGCGCCGCAUUAGCUAGUUGGUAAGGUAACGGCUUACCAAGGCAACGAUGCGUAGCCGACCUGAGAGGGUGGUCGGCCACACUGGAACUGAGACACGGUCCAGACUCCUACGGGAGGCAGCAGUAGGGAAUCUUCCGCAAUGGGCGGAAGCCUGACGGAGCAACGCCGCGUGAGUGAUGAAGGUCUUCGGAUCGUAGAACUCUGUUAUUAGGGAAGAACAAAUAUGUAAGUAACUAUGCACGUCUUGACGGUACCUAAUCAGAAAGCCACGGCUAACUACGUG